AUUGAACGCUGGCGGCAGGCUUAACACAUGCAAGUCGAACGAUGACUCUCUAGCUUGCUAGAGAAGAUUAGUGGCGGACGGGUGAGUAACAUUUAGGAAUCUGCCUAGUAGUGGGGGAUAGCUCGGGGAAACUCGAAUUAAUACCGCAUAUGACCUACGGGUGAAAGGGGGCGCAAGCUCUUGCUAUUAGAUGAGCCUAAAUCAGAUUAGCUAGUUGGUGGGGUAAAGGCCUACCAAGGCGACGAUCUGUAACUGGUCUGAGAGGAUGAUCAGUCACACCGGAACUGAGACACGGUCCGGACUCCUACGGGAGGCAGCAGUGGGGAAUAUUGGACAAUGGGGGCAACCCUGAUCCAGCCAUGCCGCAUGUGUGAAGAAGGCCUUUUGGUUGUAAAGCACUUUAAGCAGGGAGGAGAGGCUAAUGGUUAAUACCCAUUAGAUUAGACGUUACCUGCACAAUAAGCACCGGCUAACUCUGUGCCAGCAGCCGCGGUAAUACAGAGGGCGCGAGCGUUAAUCGCAAUUACUGGGCGUAAAGCGAGUGCACGUGGCUCAUUAAGUCACAUGUGAAAUCCCCGGGCUUAACCUGGGAACUGCAUGUGAUACUGGUGGUGCUAGAAUAUGUGAGAGGGAAGUCCAAUUCCAGGGGUAGCGGGGAAAUGCGUAGAGAUCUGGAGGAAUACCGAGGGCGAAGGCAGCUUCCUGGCACAAUAUUGACACUGAGACUCGAAAGCGUGGGGUAGCAAACAGGAUUAGAUACCCUGGUAGUCCACGCCGUAAACGAUGUCUACUAGCCGUUGGGGUCCUUGAGACUUUAGUGGCGCAGUUAACGCGAUAAGUAGACCGCCUGGGGAGUACGGCCGCAAGGUUAAAACUCAAAUGAAUUGACGGGGGCCCGCACAAGCGGUGGAGCAUGUGGUUUAAUUCGAUGCAACGCGAAGAACCUUAGCUGGUCUUGACAUAGUGAGAAUCCUGCAGAGAUGCGGGAGUGCCUUCGGGAAUUCACAUACAGGUGCUGCAUGGCUGUCGUCAGCUCGUGUCGUGAGAUGUUGGGUUAAGUCCCGCAACGAGCGCAACCCUUUUCCUUAUUUGCCAGCGGGUUAAGCCGGGAACUUUAAGGAUACUGCCAGUGACAAACUGGAGGAAGGCGGGGACGACGUCAAGUCAUCAUGGCCCUUACGACCAGGGCUACACACGUGCUACAAUGGUAGGUACAGAGGGUUGCUACACAGCGAUGUGAUGCUAAUCUCAAAAAGCCUAUCGUAGUCCGGAUUGGAGUCUGCAACUCGACUCCAUGAAGUCGGAAUCGCUAGUAAUCGCAGAUCAGAAUGCUGCGGUGAAUACGUUCCCGGGCCU
rnacentral:rRNA from 1 species